ACUGCCGGAGCGCCGAGCGGGAGAAGGACGGCGAGCCAAGCGGGGUGGCUGGGUGGGCAGAAGGCGGCGGCGGCGGCGGCGGCGGCGGCUGAUGCGUCGCCCGUUUUCUUCGCCCGUUCCCUCGCCUCUGCCCAGCCCCGCUUCGCCAACAGGCGCCCGCCCUCCUCUCCGCGCCCGCCGGCCUUGCGGGAGCCUCUUUCGGGCCGGGGCCGCGGCGGAGGCUGCUGCUGCUGCUGCUUCCUCGCUUGGAGAGCGCUGCUGGCUUCCCAGCCCGAGUCCGGCCAAGGAUGCCCGGAGGGAGCCCGAGCUAAGAAGCGGAGGCGGAGGGGAGCGGAGAGCUGCUGGCGGACGCGGAAGAGGACUGUGGGAUCCGAGGGAAAGUUUAGCGCCCGGCUGCUCUCAAGUCACCCGUGGAGCCCUGCGAGGUAGCCUGGGCUGGAAACGUCCAAGGUGAGCGCUUGCAAGAACUAAAAGGAAGGACCUCCCGGUCAACCUAGGGAAGGGCUGACCAUGCCACCUUCCAAAGAUGUGGUCAAAAUCGCUGUGCAGAUGAUGGGGGCG